UCUCCUUUUGUCGGACAUAUCGGGCGCCCUUCAUAAGGGGCCGGUGUGUGGGAGGAUAUAGAUCAAUAUAGGUUUUGAAAUUCAAACUACUUUGAAUUCAAAACCAAUCCAACCUAAUCCUAUCACUAAUGGGUGACAAUAGGAGACUUUGGCAUGGAUUAUUCAGUGCACAAAAUAAUUUAUGUGAUGAAAGAAGGCAUGG
rnacentral:lncRNA from 1 species